rnacentral:tRNA from 3 species
GCACUGGUGGUUUAGUGGCAAAAUUGGACAUUGCCAUUGUCUAGCCCCGGGUUCGAUUCCCGGCCAGUGCA